CCUACGGGUGGCAGCAGUGAGGAAUAUUGGUCAAUGGACGAGAGUCUGAACCAGCCAAGUAGCGUGAAGGAUGACUGCCCUAUGGGUUGUAAACUUCUUUUAUAAAGGAAUAAAACGCGGCACGUGUGCCUUUUUGCAUGUACUUUAUGAAUAAGGAUCGGCUAACUCCGUGCCAGCAGCAGCGGUAAUACGGAGGAACCGAGCGUUAUCCGGGAUCAUUGGGUUUAAAGGGAGCGUAGAUGGGUUGUUAAGUCAGUUGUGAAAGUUUGCGGCUCAACCGUAAAAUUGCAAUUGAUACUGGCAGUCUUGAGUACAGUUGAGGUAGGCGGAAUUCGUGGUGUAGCGGUGAAAUGCUUAGAUAUCACGAAGAACCCUGAUUGCGAAGGCAGCUUACUAAAAUGUGACUGACAUUGAUGCACGAAAGUGUGGGGAUCAAACAGGAUUAGAUACCCCUGUAGUC
rnacentral:rRNA from 1 species